UCGGAUAUGGUGUAGCGGCUAACAUGGCUGUCUUUCAAGAUACUUGCGUAAUCAUCGAUUGCGUAGUGUGUUCACAGCAGCUCCGGGUUCGACUCCCGGUAUCCGAA